rnacentral:rRNA from 1 species
GGUGACUGAGUGGCGGACGGGUGAGUAACGCGUGGGUAACCUGCCUCAUACAGGGGGAUAACAGUUAGAAAUGACUGCUAAUACCGCAUAAGACCACAGCACCGCAUGGUGCAGGGGCAAAAACUCCGGUGGUAUGAGAUGGACCCGCGUCUGAUUAGGUAGUUGGUGGGGUAACGGCCUACCAAGCCGACGAUCAGUAGCCGACCUGAGAGGGUGACCGGCCACAUUGGGACUGAGACACGGCCCAAACUCCUACGGGAGGCAGCAGUGGGGAAUAUUGCACAAUGGGGGAAACCCUGAUGCAGCGACGCCGCGUGAGCGAUGAAGUAUUUCGGUAUGUAAAGCUCUAUCAGCAGGGAAGAAAAUGACGGUACCUGACUAAGAAGCACCGGCUAAAUACGUGCCAGCAGCCGCGGUAAUACGUAUGGUGCAAGCGUUAUCCGGAUUUACUGGGUGUAAAGGGAGCGUAGACGGAAUGGCAAGUCUGAUGUGAAAGGCCGGGGCUCAACCCCGGGACUGCAUUGGAAAC